rnacentral:rRNA from 1 species
AAUGAACGCUGGCGGCGCGCCUAAUACAUGCAAGUCGAGCGGUAAGGCCCUUUCGGGGGUACACGAGCGGCGAACGGGUGAGUAACACGUGGGUGACCUGCCCUCAGCUCUGGGAUAAGCCUGGGAAACCGGGUCUAAUACCGGAUAUGACUCCAUGACGCAUGUUGUGGGGUGGAAAGCCUUGUGCGGCUGAGGAUGGGCCCGCGGCCUAUCAGCUUGUUGGUGGGGUGAUGGCCUACCAAGGCGACGACGGGUAGCCGGCCUGAGAGGGCGACCGGCCACACUGGGACUGAGACACGGCCCAGACUCCUACGGGAGGCAGCAGUGGGGAAUCUUGCGCAAUGGGCGAAAGCCUGACGCGGCGACGCCGCGUGAGGGAUGACGGCCU